GCAUUAGUAGCUCAGUCUCAGAGCAUCGGUUUUGUAAGCCGGCCGUCGGAGGUUAGAUUCCUCCCUACUGCU
rnacentral:tRNA from 1 species